UAGAUAGAGGCGCGGUGUUCAUCAGUACCAUACCGGCAAGGCCAGGCAGCUGUCGGACGGGAAAGGGACCAUCGCCGAAGAUUCAGAAGGGUGCCUGCCCGACUGUUUCUGGGCUGCGCGAGAAGAUCGUACAGACUGUCACAAUACUUUGUGGAGCGCUAUCG
rnacentral:ncRNA from 1 species